UGUCAAAUAUCUUUGUACCCCUUGAAAGUCUCUGAGCCAAUCAAUUUGCUAUCCUUUUAACUUAGGGUAGCAGGUAGAGGAUGCGCUAGUGCAAUUCUUGCUUUAUUAGGAACUAAUUUUUACGCUGUUGACUUGAUGUGGAAUUUUUUUUAUUAUCUCUUCUCAUUGGCAAAUGCACUUCUGGAAGCAAUGUCCUUAAUCUAGGUUGGUGAUUCAGAGAACCAAUGUCGAUCUCAACGAAUAAGAAGUGAUUUUUACUUGGACACCUGAAAUAUUGCCAGUAACAUUUAGCUAGUCGCUGUGAUGUGUGAACUUCGAAGGUCAAGAAAGUGACCUGAGUGGGAUGCCAUGAUGGGCUUUAAAAACCUAAGGCCUUCAAAACUUCUACCAAGAAAAAGAUACACGCACCAAACUGAAUGGUUUUUAUGGCUCUGUAAUUUGAAUAGGCGAACUCCUGGCUGAUUUUGAAGCCUGAUGGCAUCUCACAUUGAAAAUACCGAUUCAGUAUGUUUAUGGCUGGGGCCAAAAUUUAUCUUUGGGAGUAUUCGUGUGAAGAGGCCAUACUCAAGUUUAAGCAAUGUCCGUUUCUCUCCAACAAUGAUGUCAAGUAUCUUAUUUAUUGCAUAAAUUCAUGUCACAGGCCUUCAACUCUUCUAUGAAAGAACUUAGAGAAUGCUAAAGCAAGUUUAGAAGUUCUUAUUGCUGAUCUACAAUUCUUAAGGUUACCAUCUAACUAUCACCCAGGUAAGACAGAGUUAUGUCAAAUUGGAGGUCCAUGUUACAUUUCAAUCCAUUUACUACAUCAGUUUUGGGUUACAGUUGCUCGUGUGUAUAAUUGUGAUUUUCGCCGAUGGAAGGUUUAUCAAGCUGCCGCAAAAGACUCGUAAAGGGAUCUUUUUUACUUGAAUCAUGUAUCAGAAUGUAUAUUCCUGAUGCAAGAAGUUGAAUGGGGUUCAUGCUGUGGUUCUCCAUUGGACCUAGGUUUUCUCGCAUGGACCCGGGCAUGUCGGUGGACAUCCUCCAAAGUCAAACGACAUUUGCAUCAUUCUAGGUUUGUGACAAUGUGUGAUCACUUUGAACGUUCUCAUGUGAGGGAGGGAAUAGAAUAUUUUGGGUUUUACACCAGCCUUUGACAAUUUGGGGCGGUGGGUUGUGUUGGGUGUUAAGGUACACAAUCGAAUACUGUGAAGUUGCUCCUACUUUCAUCCCAAAACUCUGUAUUUUGGACUGCCCUCCAAAUCGAGCUCUGCUCAGAUGAUCACCCUGAGUAUAUUCUCAACGAUUGUUGCAAUUAGAUAUCGCGUCGUACUGUCUGGCUUAUUACUUAUAAAUGUUUUUCUCA